rnacentral:rRNA from 1 species
GAUGAACGCUGGCGGCGUGCCUAAUACAUGCAAGUCGAGCGAACGGACGAGAAGCUUGCUUCUCUGAUGUUAGCGGCGGACGGGUGAGUAACACGUGGAUAACCUACCUAUAAGACUGGGAUAACUUCGGGAAACCGGAGCUAAUACCGGAUGAUAUUUUGAACCGCAUGGUUCAAAAGUGAAAGACGGUCUUGCUGUCACUUAUAGAUGGAUCCGCGCUGCAUUAGCUAGUUGGUAAGGUAACGGCUUACCAAGGCAACGAUGCAUAGCCGACCUGAGAGGGUGAUCGGCCACACUGGAACUGAGACACGGUCCAGACUCCUACGGGAGGCAGCAGUAGGGAAUCUUCCGCAAUGGGCGAAAGCCCGACGGAGCAACGCCGCGUGAGUGAUGAAGGUCUUCGGAUCGUAAAACUCUGUUAUUAGGGAAGAACAUAUGUGUAAGUAACUGUGCACAUCUUGACGGUACCUAAUCAGAAAGCCACGGCUAACUACGUG